AAAGUCGUAACAAGGUCUCCGUAGGUGAACCUGCGGAGGGAUCAUUACCGAGUGAAGGGCCUCCGGGUCCGAUCUCCAACCCUUUGUCGUUAUACAACUCUGUUGCCUCGGGGGUGACCCGGCCCUGGCGUCGGGGCCCCCCGUGGACCCAACCGUGAAACUCUGCGUCCAUGCGUCCGAGUACAAUGAUCAAAUCAAACAAAACUUUCAACAACGGAUCUCUUGGUUCUG
rnacentral:misc_RNA from 1 species